CGGCGUGCCUAAUACAUGCAAGUCGAACGCAUUGUGGUUGAAAUGAUAUGAAGAACUUGUUCAGAUUUGAUUUUCAACAUUGCAAUGAGUGGCGAACGGGUGAGUAACACGUGGGAAACCUACCUCUUAGCAGGGGAUAACAUUUGGAAACAAAUGCUAAUACCGUAUAAUAAUUAAAACCGCAUGGUUUUAGUUUAAAAGAUGGUCUUGCUAUCACUAAGAGAUGGUCCCGCGGUGUAUUAGUUAGUUGGUGAGGUAAUGGCUCACCAAGACAAUGAUACAUAGCCGAGUUGAGAGACUGACCGGCCACAAUGGGACUGAGACACGGCCCAUACUCCUACGGGAGGCAGCAGUAGGGAAUCUUCCACAAUGGACGAAAGUCUGAUGGAGCAACGCCGCGUGUGUGAUGAAGGGUUUCGGCUCGUAAAACACUGUUGUAAGAGAAGAAUGACAUUGAGAGUAACUGUUCAAUGUGUGACGGUAUCUUACCAGAAAGGAACGGCUAAAUACGUGCCAGCAGCCGCGGUAAUACGUAUGUUCCAAGCGUUAUCCGGAUUUAUUGGGCGUAAAGCGAGCGCAGACGGUUAUUUAAGUCUGAAGUGAAAGCCCUCGGCUCAACCGAGGAAUUGCUUUGGAAACUGGAUAACUUGA
rnacentral:rRNA from 1 species